rnacentral:lncRNA from 1 species
GUACAACCUCGCCCCAUAUUAUAACAUAAACGAGAAUCUUGCUUUAACACGUCAAAUCCGUGUAGAACAAGAUAAGCCUAAGAUUAUACGGAUAAGGAUUAGGAUUAGGAUAAAAAUAAGAAUUAAAAUAAAGAUAAAACCGACAAAAUAAAAAGUUAAAUAAAUCGGAUGUAUGGAUCGCGCGCGUGCGCCGCCCGCCCGGCUCGUGCUCGUGCCGUGCGUGCGUGUAUUUAAACGAGAGUAUAACUCUCAUUUUCUUCCAAGCAACUAUCUUGAGAAUAAAUGAAUAAAUAAAAACCACAAACACUCUUUUGGUUU